rnacentral:lncRNA from 1 species
ACAUCCCACAGAUGGAAUUCCUUACACCUGCUCGAGUUAUCAUGGUGGCUCCGUUCAACUAGACUCUGAAUGUGUGCAUGCCUCCUCAGGAUUCACCAAUGCAAAGUCUCUGAGAUGCAAAUAUCAUGAGCUUUUAUCAGCAACCCCAGGUGGUAGAUGGAUUUAUUGUUAGAAGACUUCUCAGAGAAGAUCUCUGAUACUAUCUCAAGACUGCAAAGGAACAGACAUCUAGAUGGUGAGCCUUCAGACUCUCCAGGCUGAGAGGAUAGAGUGCUGUUGGUACUAGGAGAAAAGAGGACUUGCAGUGAUUCCCUGGCAGGACCCAAGGACUUCAGGAUGGACACCAGUGCCUAAGGAGUUUCAAUCCUUACCCAGAGCUCUGAGCCAAAGAUACCUGUGUCUCUAAUAUGGCAGAAACACAACAACAAAGCCUUGAAGGGACUAUUCCAGCAACCCAGUGUUACAAGUGACCUUUUACGGAGCUCAGCAUUGAUUUAAAUAUGCUGAUGAAAUCACUUGGCUUGCAAGAUGUUUGAUAGAAAAAUGAAACCUUAAACUACCAACUGAGUUUGAACAGAUGAUGUUUUUCUGACUAACACACCAAUAUUCAUUAAACAGAAGUAUGUGUCCAAAGUUCAGAGACACAUUCUACUUGCUUAUUACAGAACUAAACUUGAAUUUUCCUCUAGUCUUGUUCAGUUACUACAUCGAAAGAAUUCUAGGACUUGGAGAGAUUACUAGUUUCAAGGUAAAGUGCAAAUAAUCGGAGAUUUCUGUGAGUCACACUACAAGAAAUAUAAAAGAAGUAUUUCAAAUAAAGAUAUAUAAAUAACAAACUUAUACUUGAUGAACCACCUAUCUAACAAUGUCAGGAAAAUAUAGGACAGAGAUUAGUCUAAAAUCAC